AGUCGACUCCAGGUGAGCAGGGGUCGACCCCAGGUCUAUGAACACAGUUAAGUUGUCUGUGAACACAGUUAACUUGUCUAGGAACACAGUUAACUUGUCUAGGAACACAAUUAAGUUGUCUGUGAACACAGUUAAGUUGUCUAGGAACACAGUUAUCUAAGAAUACAGUUAAGUUGUUUGGGAACACAGUUAACUUGUCUAGGAACACAGUUGUUUAGGAACACAGUUAAAUUGUCUGGGAAUACAGUUAACUUUUAUUUUUAUUUUAUUUUAUUUUCUUCUUUUUCUUUCAUUUUCUUUUAUUUUCUUUUCUUUUUCUUUUUUUUUCUUCUCUUCUUCCCUUCUCCUUCUUUCUUCUUCCUUCUCCUCUCGCGAGGCCGGCAGCUACGGAAGGGGGUUGGACGGUGGCGGCCACAGGAUGGGGCCACCGGGGGGGCAGCGGCUCCUCUUCUUUGGCACCUCCCCACCGUGGGGGCGGAGGUAUUUCCGGCGGCGCGGAAGGGGGCAGCGGGUGCGGGAGGGGGUGGGCCGUGGCUGGCGGCUGCCUUUUUCUUCUCCUUCUUCGGUGGGAAUGGGAGAGGCGGGGGCAUUUUGGUCCCAUAAAGCAAUGUUGAAAUAUAUAUGGACCGGUUGUUAAACAACCGGUCAACAGGGAUUUAAUGUUAAAGUUCGGUCAAUAAAUGGACCGCUGAGCAAGUUCCCC
rnacentral:lncRNA from 1 species